UAAUACCGCGUGUGGGGAAAAUAGCAUAUCAAUAAGCGGAGGAAAAGAAACUAACAAGGAUUCCCCUAGUAACUGCGAGUGAAGCGGGAAAAGCUCAAAUUUGAAAUCUGGCAGUCUUUGGCUGUCCGAGUUGUAAUCUAGAGAAGUGUUACCCGCGCUGGACCGUGUACAAGUCUCCUGGAAUGGAGCGUCAUAGAGGGUGAGAAUCCCGUCUCUGACACGGACUACCAGGGCUUUGUGGUAUGCUCUCAAAGAGUCGAGUUGUUUGGGAAUGCAGCUCAAAAUGGGUGGUAAAUUCCAUCUAAAGCUAAAUAUUGGCGAGAGACCGAUAGCGAACAAGUACCGUGAGGGAAAGAUGAAAAGAACUUUGGAAAGAGAGUUAAACAGUACGUGAAAUUGCUGAAAGGGAAACGCUUGAAGUCAGUCACAUUGACUAGGGAUCAGCCUUGCAUUGCAUGGUGUACUUUCUGGUUGAUGGGUCAGCAUCAAUUUUGACUGCUGGAAAAAGGCUUGGGGAAUGUGACAGCUCUGGCUGUGUUAUAGACCCUUGUCAUAUACAGCGGUUGGGAUUGAGGAACUCAGCACGCCGCAAGGCCGGGUUUCGACCACGUUCGUGCUUAGGAUGCUGGCAUAAUGGCUUUAAGCGACCCGUCUUGAAACACGGACCAAGGAGUCUAACAUGCCUGCGAGUGUUUGGGUGGAAAACCCAAGCGCGUAAUGAAAGUGAAAGUUGAGAUCCCUGUCGUGGGGAGCAUCGACGCCCGGACCAGAACUUUUGGGACGGAUCUGCGGUAGAGCAUGUAUGUUGGGACCCGAAAGAUGGUGAACUAUGCCUGAAUAGGGUGAAGCCAGAGGAAACUCUGGUGGAGGCUCGUAGCGAUUCUGACGUGCAAAUCGAUCGUCAAAUUUGGGUAUAGGGGCGAAAGACUAAUCGAACCAUCAUGUUUCUU
rnacentral:rRNA from 1 species